GCGGGCGUAGUUCAAUGGUAGAACACGAGUUUUCCAAACUCGUUACGUGGGUUCGAUUCCCAUCGCCCGCUCCA
rnacentral:tRNA from 2 species